rnacentral:lncRNA from 1 species
UUUUAAAUAUUGAAGUAUUAAUCGCGAUGCAUACACUAAGGGAUUGUUUGGUUGCAAGUAGUUGCAACUAUACUGCAGUGUAGCUGUAAUUACGUGCAGAUCUAAAUUUGACGUUUGUUUUGAUGAAUUUGAAUUCAACUGCUACAGUUGAAACUAUAUGAGGAGGCUCAACUUGUAUUAGUUAAAAUUAAAUUAGCUACAGUUCCAACUGCAAUACUUGAAAAGAAUAAUUUUAAAUAAAAUUAAACUUAUCCUCCUAACAAUUUUCAAAUAGAUAUAAGUUUUUUCCUUUCCUACUUAAGGAUAAUCUCAACCCCCACCU